ACCUCUCAGUAUUAUACAGAAAAAACUUCAAAAAACCCUUUGCACUUUUUCAUUUUAGUAUUCCGUAGUUUAAAAUGUAUUAAGUUAGUAUCAUGUGGUUUCGUACUUUCUCACUUUAGUACCCUGUGGUUUAAAGUGUAUCAAGUUAGUAUCAUGUGGUUUUAUUUUUGUAUCAAGUUAGUAUCAUGUGGUUUUAUUUUUGUAUCAAGUUAGUACUCCGUGGUUUUAUUUUUCUCUUAAUGAAAUAUUAAAUCACAGGGUACUAAAGUCAGAAAGUAUGAAACCAUAGGAUACUAACUUGAUACACUUUGAACUAUAGAGUACUAAAGUGAGAAAGUGCAAAACCACAGAGUACUAAUUUAAUAUACUUUAAACCAUAUGAUACUAAAGUGAGAAAAAAUGAAACCAUCAGGGGGUAUUUGAAGUUUUCGCUAUAUAUAUAUAUAUACUAAUAGAAAAUCAGUAGUUUAAUUUGGUUAAAUGAAUUGGGGGCAAUUGAUCAAAUUUAAUAGUUUUAAUCAGUAGCAAGAAAUGGAACUAAAGUGAGUGCUGGGCCUACUGGAUAGUGACUGACAGAGUCCUAAAAGAUUUAAUAAAAUCUUUAACUUAACUAACUAAAAUAACACAUAAAAAAAAGGCCUAUAUUUUUACCUUCACUAUUUACCAUCUCUGUAUCCCAAUCUCUCUCUCUUUCUCUCUCUCUCUCUCUCUUAAAUCAUCACUAUGAUUAGGGUUAGCUGUUGGGAAUCAUAAGUGAUAAAAAAAAAAAAAAAGGAAAGAGAAAUAAAGGGGCUUUUCAUAUUUUGCAGUGUCCUCUCUUUUGAUUUUGCCAUAUGUGGGCAGUGAAAUAUUUACAGCAUGUCUCUUAUAUAUAAUCCCACUGUACCAAGAUGCAGUUAUUACUUCACCCAUUGUUGCAUGUGCCCUAGUACUCCCUCUCUCUCUUUUUUUUUAAAUUUUUUGUGUGUGUGAUGUGGAAGUAUCAAUAUGAAGCUUUAUCACAAGAGUACAUGGGAAUCAAGCUCUAGUACUUUUAAAAGUAUCAGUUAAUUGGUAUUUGUAGAUUUUCAGUUUUUGAAUUAAGAGAUGAGUCCUAUUGUAUUUUCGGCCUUUGAAUUAAUAAAUAUGAUAUACCGUAGAGAAUAUAUAUAUAAUUGGACUAAAAUAUUAUUAAAAUAGUAUUUGGCCUUUUUUAUUAUUAAGUUUUUAACAUUUAGAUAAAAAAUUAUAGAGUUGAGAUGAUAGUGGUCCCGUAAGUUUUACUGGUAGUCCUCCUAGGAUUGAGUAGGUGAUUGGUUGAAUAGUAUAAUCUAAAGGAUGGAAUUGAUUAAAAUGUAUAUCCAACGGCUAAAAAAUCGAUAGCAAAAAAGACCCAAAUACUAUUAAUUGUAUUUAAGCUCAACUCUCUCUCUCUCUCUCUCUCUCUCUAUAUAUAUAUAUAUGUCAAUUUCAUACAGAUUCCUAUAAAUAUAGUGAAUAGCAAUUAUAUUCCUACAAACUUCAACUUUCAUAUAUUGUCCUUCAAAAGUCCUAACGUUUUCAAAUAUAUCUCUCUGAUUUUUCACCAUUAGAGAACCAUUAGAGAAACUGUUUAUAUUUUCAAAUUUUUCAUCACAAAUAUAUAAGUUUUGAGCUUCUUUGCUUUUAAAAGUAUUAAUUCAUUGGUGCUUGUAGGUUUUCGACCAUUGGAUUAAAGAAGUGCGGUUAGAAUGAUAGUGUUUUCCUAGGGUUAAGUGGGUGGUAGGUGGAAUAGCAUAAUCGAAGGGGUGGAAUUGGUCAAAAGAAUAAAUCUAAUGGUGAGAAAUUUAUAAACACUAAGUGUUUUGUGUUUUUAAAAUCACCAUAGCUAGACUCUAUAUAUAUUCCUGUUAUGCUAUGUUUAGUAACAAAAUAUUAAAGAGAAUAAGGCCUUUUAUAUUAAUUGUCUCUUGUGCCAAACACAAAAGGUUUGACAUAAAUAGUUUAUUUUGAUUAAAACAGAUUAUUUUAAGUUAUUUAAUUAGAAUUCUUUUUCCUCCUCACCCUUGAAACAAGGGUUUUCUUUCAGUUUAUCAUUCGCCUAGUUGAUUCACAUUUUCAGGUAAGUUUAUUUUUAUAUGAAAUAAACGAAGCGGAUAGCGUACUAUCUAUCUCUCUCUCUCUCAAAAAAAAGAAACUAUACAUUAUUGUGGAAACUAGCAGAAGUAUCUGAUUGAAGCUUUUUGCAAAAGUAGUUCGUGCUAAUUUUUUUUCGAAUGUGAACCGGAUCGUAUAAGUUGAUUUUCGUGUUCUCGAGUCGUCGAUGAAGGUCUUCUAAUUCUCCAAAUUAACCUGCGGUGGACCGAACUAUAAGUGAGCUAAGCCUAUAUUCUACAAUUGCAAUAGAUUAACGAAGGAUUCUCUCUCCCUCAAGAUGGUAUACGAAUUUUUUACGAAUUUUUCUUGAUUUUUUGGUUAAUUUCUAUCCCUCUUUUACACGUCUCUCAUGAGAGAACACCCUAAUAUUUAUAAGGUUCUCAAUGCCCUAAAAUUUCAGGCCAAAUCGGUUUAUAAUUAUCAUUCUAAUAUAACGAGAAAAUAUGUCUAAUUAGCUUUUCAAAUUAAAAAUGAGAUACAAUCUAGUCUAAGUAGAUAAUAUAAUAAUCAUUGAAUCGAGCCUGAUCAUAGGCGCAUCAAAUUUGACAAAAUGCCGCAUUCACAAUUCUUAAGAAAUAAUUAAACAUUAUUUUGGUUAUAUUUGGAAAUAACCAUAUGUCGGACCAAAGACAAAAUUUCUCUUCUUCUUCUCUAUUCUAGAAUAUUGAGUUAUUUCAAAAAUAAAAAUUAUUUAUUCCUUCAUAUAUUAUAGUGUUACCAAAAACUAUCUCUUUGUCAUUGUAUAAAAUACACUACAACCAAAACGGUUUAUAGCGACACUUCUAAAUGUAGGUACAUGUCAAAAAAGUGUUGCUAGCUAAAAUUACCGAUACUUUUAAAAAGUGUUGCUAUAUGUGGGGUCGCUAGGUAUAUAGUAACAGUUAAAGAGUGUCGCUAUAACCUAAAAGAGUGCUAUUAAUUUACCAACACUUAUUUAAGCAUUUAGCAACCGUCGAAACUCUAUCUCGUUGGCUGCGGUGGCGGAGGGGGACGACAGGAAAGGCUCUUCGUCUAGAAUUUCAGUGGAUUGAGUAAAGAGAGAAGAAAAGAUGGUAAUUGAUUUUUCUUUUUUUUUCAUUUCUAUUUAUAAUCGGGCCAACUAGACUGGGUGUGGUGGGUUGAGUAGAGUAAUGUUUUAUUUUUGGUUGGAUUGGGCUUUAUAUUUAGGCAUUAGUAGAUAUUUUUUUAAGUUUUAGCAUAAAUAUGACACUUACUCAAAAGUGUUCUAAACAUGUGUUUCUAUAAUCUAAUUCUGUUGUAGUGAGAGUUAAGGUAAACCUACAAAAGUAUGCCAUACCCAAAUUAUUACAAUCUACGUAACAUAAUAUUUUUUUUAUUUCUUUCCGCUAUACUUUUUUACUAUAUGUAAGGCAUCCUUCCUACCGUCCAAAUUCAAAUGUUGGAUUAAGUGUCGUGUCAUUUGAAAGAUAACUACUACUAAAAGUUGAAGUGAAAGCAGACCAAGCAGGCAAUAAGCUAUAUAUUUAUCAAAUUCCAAGAAUGUUAGGUAUAUUUAUAUUUAAAGAAGCCCAAAAUAAACCAUUCACACAGAAGCACUCUAGCUAUGCAAAUGCUUCAAGAUCUAUAUUGCAUACCACACAACAUAUAACAUUACUUAAAAUAUACAGAUGCCACUUCCUCUCAUCCAACAACCUUUCUCACUCCAUUUUAAUUGGUAUCUUAGGUCAAUUAAAUGACCACUAUUUGAGAGGUGUAAUUUGGGACCCAUAUGUAAUAAAGGAUGCCCAAAUAACAUCAAAAUAUUGAAACAUGUCACACUUUGACCAAACAACAAACAACAUUCAAAACUAGUCCUUGGAGGAUUAAUAUUCAUCACAACUUAAGUGGUCAACAUUGCAUGAUCAAACAUAGAUUACUAACAGUUACUAAGAAAAUAAAGUUACACUCCAAAAACAGUUUACACACAUUAUGAACUAGAAUGAAAGGUACAUUUAUUAGAGCCUAUUUGAGUACAAGAACAUUUUAUUGAGUUAAUCUUUCUAAUUUACUCGAAAACAAAAAAAAUAAUUAAUGGAUAAAAAAAAUGAUUAGAUAUAAACAGUGGCAUAAUAUACACAAACCUUUAAAUUAUUCUUAUAAAAUAAAAUAAAUUAACUAGCUGAUUAUUAGGACUUGUGAAGGGCAAAACAAGAUCUCUAAGUUGCAAUUAUAGUAACAAAGAAAAAAAAAAAUUAUAAUAACACAUAAGUUAUCACCGAAUGAUUUGUUCCGACAUUCAAACAGACCUUUUAGCCCCUGGAUUGCAAAGAUGAAACUCAGUUUGGAAAUUCAAACAAGAGAACUAAGACCACAGCAUUAAUUUGCCAGAGAAUUGAAAAUUUGAAGGGUCAUCAUAAAGUAAAAGGAUAGAGGUUUGGUUUCUACAACAAAAGUUCUACCAAUUUAAAUUUAAACACCAAAAACUUCCUUUUCCUUUUUUUUUUUUUUGAACUCUCUCUCUCUCUCUCUCUCUCUCUCCUUGUUCUUGAAUCUUGAUCUUUCCUCUCCUUUAUAAAAGGUUUCUGUACAGAGUCUCCAAGCCUCAUUUGCCAUUAACUGCUGUUGGUAAAUUAAACUAAGCUAGUACUUCUAAUUGGCUCCAACACCCAGGAAAUCAAAGAAGGGCAAGCUAACUUUUUCUCCAUUUCCAACAGCUGCUUCAUCCUGCAAGGAAGAGUUGUUGCUGUAGAGAGAGGCUGAUUCAGUUGCUGAAGCCUCAGAAGCUGCUGCUGCAGCAUCAAGGUGACCAGAAUAUUCAAAAGCCACCAUGGCAGAAGCACUUCCCUGAAAGCAGUUUCUAGGGAACUCAGAACUCCCCUUUCUCACUGCAACCAGCUUUUCAUCUGGGCCUGCAACAGUCAUGGGAACUGGCUAGUAACAUCUAAUUAGAAACAAUAUUAUAGUAAUAUUAUAGAUAGUAACUAUAUAGUCAGAAAAUAAGAAGAAGAAAAAAAGAAAAAGUCAUACCAGCAAAGAAACCAAAGAGUUGUGGAUGAUGGGAGAGGUUGAAACCAUUGAAAAAGAAGCCAUGAACAGCCCCAGAAACUGCAGCAAAUGAGUCAAGGGGGAACCCAGUGCAUGUGGAACCAGAACCAGAUUCCUCUCUUGCAGCAGUGGUUGUGGACUCCCCCUUGCAUGCACAUGCACUGCUCAUCCCACUGCUCCUUUGCUCCACACCACCACCUUUGUGAGCAUUAUUAUUAUUAUUAUUAUUAAUAUUAGUAAUAUUGUUGUUGUUGUUGUUGUUGUUGUUGUUGUUGUUGUUGUUGUUGUUGAUGAUGAUCAUCUUCCUCCUCUUGCCACCAGUGGAGAGCUCCCUGUGCCUCCUGGCCAUGAUGACAUGCCAGUGGUUCUUCACAGCAUUGUCUGUUCUCCCAGGAAACAGCUUUGCAAUGAGAGCCCACUUGUUCCCAUACAGCUUGUGUGCAGUUAAAAGCCUCUCCUCCUCUGCCUCACUAAAUGCCCUCUUGUUGAUCCUUGGGUCCAGUUGAUUGAACCAUCUUAGCCUACAACUCUUCCCUAUUACAUAUAAUCAAAAACAAACAAUAUAUAUAUAUAUAUACACACUUGACUACUCAAAACACAUAUUUUCACAAGAAAGAAAAGAAAAAAACAAAAAACAAAAAAAAAAGAAAAGAAAAGGAAGGAACCUGAUCUUCCUUGUAGAUUCUCAGCAAUAAGGUUCCAAUUCUGGGGGCCAAACUGGGAAACAAGUUCUCUGAGCUUUGCAUCCUCCACAGGUCUCCAAUGGCCCCUGCAACAUAAUUUCACAUGGGUGUUCUCAGCAAAGCUCUUAUUCCCCACCUCCCCCUCNUCUCCUCCUUCUACUUCUAUUACUACUACUACUACUCCUCCUCCUUUCCACCAUUAAUGAACCCAUGAGAGAUUGGUGGCUGUGCUGGUGCUUGCGGAGUAGGAGGAGAGAAGAGGAGGAGCAUUUCCUCUGUUGUGGGGUUCUGUGGCUCAAACCCCAUCCUGUUCAUCGAAGAUCUGGGGCUCUAAUUAAUCACCAAAUUAAUGAUGAGUUCAAAUCCUUUUUUUGCUCUGUGGGUGUUCCUCAAAACUCCAAUCUAAAUCAUUUUUUGGCUACAAAAGGAGGGAUUUUGAAGCAAGGAAAAGGAGCAAAAGAGGAGAGAGAGAGAGAGAUAUAGAGAGAGAGAGAGAGAGAGAGAGAGAGAGAGAGUGGGGUUGGUGUGAGAAAACUAUACAGUGCUCUCUCUCUCUCUCUAAGUUUCUCUCUCUCUCUCUCUCUCUCUCUAUAUAUAUAUAUAUAUAGAUAUGUGUAUGUGGUGGCUUUAUACUGAGACCAAAUGGUGUGUUGGGGAAGUGUGGGCAUUGGGGUUUGCAUGGAGAAGUGUGGGUUCAAAAAAAAGGGAACCGCUCGUGUGGGUGGAGAGUAAAAACUCUCCCCCCCCUCUCUCUCUCUCUCUAACUUCUCUCUCUCUAACUUCUCUCUAUAUUCUCUCUCUUACUUGUUGUGUUUCACUCUCUACACCAGUUUUAGGCAGUGUUUGUUUCAGUAACAAGACGUGAAUAAGACUCUAUUCUUUUUUCUUUUUUUUUGUUUCAAAAUAUAAAUUUUCGUAUCAAAAACAGUAAUUUUCAUGUCUCUCUAAUAAAUUGGUAUCAGUCUGAAACGGUUGUUUCAUCAUUGUUCUUGGGGCCUUUUUUGUAAUUAGCCUUCUGAAAAAAAUUUAUUUUAAAAAUAAUUCUAGCAAGAUAGUUAAGUUAAACACGGUGAACCAUUUACCGUGUCUAAACACGGUGAAUGAUUCACCGUGUCUGAAAAAAGAGAAGGAAAAGAAAAAAUAUAUGUAUUAUAAAAAAGAUAAAUAUGAAACACACCGUGUUUGAAUAGGGUGAAUGGUUUAUCAUGUUCAACUUAACACCCCAACCCAUCCACCUGACGCUGAUGUGGCAUCUGCGUGGUAAGAUCAUGGCCAUUUUUGCAAAUUUAAAUUUGCUAGGGCUAUUUUUAAAAUAAUUUUUUUCAGGGGGCUAAUUGCAAAAAAAACCCUUUUUCUUGAAACAAGAUUGUUCCUAAAUAGGAACAAGGUUUAAUUAAAAUUAAAAUUUAAUUUUAAUUAUGGUAUUAAAUUAUUAGUUAAUCUAAUUAAAAUAUUUAUAUUAUUAUUAUUCAUUGCUUAAAAAAUAAAAUAAUUAAUUAAUUUAUUAUUUAUAAUUAAUUAGCUAAUUAAUUAUUGAUAAUUUAAUAUGUUUAUUUACAGACUAAUAUUUAUAUUGAUUAAUCAUUAAUAUUUUUAUUAAUCUAACUAAUUUUUUUACUAGCUAUCCAACUAAAAUAAUUUACUAACUAAUUAAAAAGUUAAAUUAUUUACUUAAUAUUUAAUUAAUUAAUUAAUUAAUAUAUUUUUAUUAUCUUUAAUGUUUAUUCAGCUAUAUAAUUUAUUAAUUUAUUAAAUUAUUUUUAAUUAAUAUUUUGAUGUUAAUUAAUUAGAUAAAUUUUUUAAUUUAACAUUUAUACUCUAAUUUCUCUUGUUUUCCUAAUUCUAAGUAUUCUGUUCGUUUCAUACGUAAUAUCUCCUUUUUAAUAAUUUAAAAAAUAUUUACUAUAUAUGUAUUUCUUGAAGUAAAAUGACUGAUAUUUAUCUGAAUUAUGGAUCAUUUUAUGAUUGACCAUCUAACUUUUCAAUUUGUAUGCUUUGAAUCAGUCAAUGAUAGUUUGACUUCAAAAUUUAAACUAAUUACUUACUUUAAUAAUAAAUUUAUAGUUGCGCAAUUGUAUAAAGUAUGCUAACUAAAUUUAUACAGAUAAAAUAAAAUCAAAAUUUUGAAAGAUGGGAUAACCAACUCAGAAAGGAUAUAGUUCAAUUAAGUUAUGUACGUUUUACUUUAAUCCUCAAAUAUUUAAAGUUCGAUAUUUUAGAUUCUGAAUGUUUUAUUUCGAUUCUUAAAUUUUUAAUUUUGUUUGAGUCUCUAACCUUUAAAGGAGUUUCAUUUUAGUCCUUAUUUAUUACUAGGAAGUAAAUCAGUGCUAUUUUUUUAUUUUUACAAGUUAAAUCAUUGUAUUGAAAUUAUCAGAUUAGUACGUGAAGAAACAAUGAAUUUUUAGUUUAUAUACGUAAAGAUGAAUUAGAUAUUAAACUACAACUUUUAAUCUAAAAUUAUAGCAAACAAAAAAGAAGUUGUAUUAAAAAGUUAGAGAUUGAAAUAAAAUUUCGAUGUCAAAUUCAAAAUUUGGCUUUCUACAAUUUUGAAAACCGAAAUGAAACAUGAGUUGAAAUUAUGGAAUAAUAGGAAUGAUUUGGAAUUAUAUUAGACUUUUAAUUUCCUCAAGUACUUAUUAGUUCUUAGGAUCGGUUAAAAUUAAUUUUUUUAUACAAAAUAACCAUUGUAUCCUUAGAUAUAAUUUUAAUUAUAUGUAAAAUUAUUUAUUAAUUCUUCGAUGUCAUUUUACAUGAAUGAUAACUACAAAUCUUAAGAAAUUUAAAAAAUGUUUUUUUUUUUUUUAAAUGGGCAUGACGAUUCAAAAAAUAAAAAUUUAACACUCACUUAGUACAGCCAAUGUGUAGAGAAAUAUCUACAUAUUUUAAAGCUUUAUUAUAAAAAAUAGAAAAUAUCUAAUAACUAAAACAUGUAGAAACAAUGUGUAAUUGUAAAACUUUAUGGGGAUACGUAUGAAAAUUGUUACUAGCUCCAUACGGUGCAAUACCUACGGUACAUUCCCCGUUCUCGAAGCCACGUGGCACCAUCAGGAGAGUUCGCGGACACGUCCACGUGUUUUUACGUGGCUAUCGUACGGACGGGCGCAUAAACUUAGGCUUACGUAAGCAAGUAACGGAAAAAAUAAAUAAAUAAAGUGGGGGCCACCUGUCGGAGUUAUAUGUGUCGGUUUACGUACACACGUUCCACGACUCCUAACGUAACUGCACAAAACGUGGAAUUUGUGAUGCGAGGGGACUAAAAAAUAAAUAAAUAAAUAAAAGAGGACAGUGUUGUAAAUUUCCCUAGAAUUUGACAUAUAUUAUUAGUGUCUAAAUUUAAUUCGCAAAAAAAUAAAAAAAACUAUGAAUACGGAUAUAAAUUUUCUUUUUAAAAAAAUCUAAUUGUAUUUGAUAAUUUUCACUAAAUUUAAGAGAUAAUUAGAGGGAUGUAAAUAGGGAAAACUUCAAAAAACCUCCCUGUGGUUUCGCACUUUCUCACUUUAGUACCUUGUGAUUUAAAAGGUAUCAAUUUGCCUCCCUGUGGCUUUGUUUUUAUCUUUUUCACAGUUUUUUCCUUAAUAUUUUAUUAAAUUAUAUACAAAAAAACUUUAGAUACACACCUAGAUUUAUCGAAUAUUUACUUUAGUAUUCUUUAAUUUUAACUUUGUCACUGAUUUAAAAAAAAUAAUAAUAAAAUUGAUACUAAAAAGAGAAAAACGAAACCACAGAAGGACAAAUUAAUAUAUUUUAAACCACACAGUACUAAAGUGAGAAAGUGCGAAACGACAGGGGAUUUUUUGAAGUUUUUCCAUGUAAAUAUAUAUCACGGAAGGUAAAUUAGUUUUCUAUCGUGUCUUUUGUUUAUUUUUUUAUUAUAAAUUUUAUGUUAAAUUUGUGUUUGUAUUUAUUAAAAUAUUAAAUUCUAUUUAGUAAGCUGUGGGAAUGUAGAGCUUGAAUAUGAAUGUAAACGUUUAUUUGCAUUGUAUAUCUAAAUUACACUAAUUAAUUUUAGUUUAUAUUUGUAUAUGUAUAUUAGUAUACAUUAUUAUCAUGACUACAAAUUUGAUUCAUAUCUGAAUUUGAGUUUAUUUCAGAUAGAUCUGAUAAUAAAAAUUUAGUAUUUGAUAAGUAUCCGUAUCCGAAUUCACAUCUGAAGAAAAAAAAAAAAAUGAAAGCGAAAAUAAUUUUGUAAAAAGUUCAACCCCUAAAAUUGUGUAGAGACUCCCUCAACAAUAAACAUUUUUGAAAUGUGCCACUUAUUUGCACUUCGACUCUUCAAUUUUUUAGAUUUGAUAAUUUUAUCAAAUACAAUAAUUUUGAUCAUUUUUAACAAAUACAGUUAGAAUAAUUAAUUAAUAAUAGCAAAUAAGGCUAUUAAAUUUGAGAAAGUUUUUAACUAAAGUAACUAAAAUAGCUUAAUUAGAAAAAAAAAAAGAAGAAAAGCUAAAGAGGUGUAAAUCAAAAAAGUUCUAAGUUUAACAGUGAUUGGGACCAUUGUAAUUAUCAAUUAUGUAUUUUAUUAAAUUUAUAGAUAAUAUUGUCAAAUUUAAUUAAUUUUUUUAAUUUUUUUUAGUACAUAGAGUUAGAGUAAUUAUUGGUUAUAAAUAGCUAAUAGAACUAUUAAACAUAUCAAAAAAAUUUUAACUAAAAUAACUUUAAAAACUAAAUUUAAAAAAUAAAACUUAAUGGGUCUCAAUAAUGAAAGUGACCUUAAUACCAUUCACAAAACCUAACAUUAAAAAUUAAAAUUUGUAAAGAUUUAUUUCGUUAGUAAUUGAAUAUUGUCCUUUUCUACACUGUUAAUUUUGGAUGACUCACUAACAUAUUUCUAAAAUUUAAAAUUUUUAUCUAUAAUCUAAUUAGAUAUUGCAUUUAACAAGAACCAAAUUAAAACUUUAAUUUUAAAGUAUUAAUAAGUAAAUAUUAAAUAGGUAAAACUAUUUUGAUUCAACCGUACGUCCAACAUUAAAAAAUUUAGAUUUUGAUACCCAAAUUUUAAUUUAUUUUAUUUAAAUUAUUUGAUGAUUCUUUUGGUAUAAAAUUUAGGCUUAUUGUUUAAUUUAAUGAAUUUACAUCUGAAUGAAUUAUAGCAUACUAAUCAGGCUUAUAAACGUAAACGAUACACUCAAAUUUUAAAAUGUAUGCGCCAAUAAAUGGUUCAAAUUAAAUGGGUUAAAAAGCUAGUAAGUAAAAUAAAAAAAAAUUAAGAUUAGAUAAUUGAUUCAAAUAAAUUUUAUAUAUUUAUAUUAAAUGUAACAUAUCAUAUACAUAGAUACACCAAAUAGGGGAGAUAAUAAUUAAUUUCUCAAUUAACAAAAGCAGCCUUUUUUGACAUGGGACUAGGAGCAACUUCAUCUUUUAUUAACCUAAGUUGUAUUAUUCAGAGUCCGGCUAUUAUACUUUUAUGAGUAUAGAGCCUCUUGUACUCAUAAGUUUUUGCCCGCUAGAUUUACCCUUUAAUCAUUUUCACCCGUUAUAUUAUACUAUUCAACCAACCACCCACUCAACCCUAGGGGGCCCACUAUCAACCUAAUCGUAACCAUUUUUAUCAUAACCGCAUAUUUUUUCAUCUGAACGGCUGAAAAUUUAUGAGUACAAAGGGCUGUAUACUCAUAUAAGUAUAGUAGCCCCAGCCGUAUUAUUCAUGCUUCAUUAUUCCACAUAUAAACAAUCACUAACUUUAUUUGGAUAUGCUUAGAAGGUGAAAUUAUUGAGUGGAUUUGUUUUACCAUGUUCUAUGGACCUAGAAGAGUUAAAAAUAUAAUACCUAUGGUUAAAAAGCAGAUCUUAAUUUUAUUUUUAUUCUUCGGGCAGUUUGUAGAAAUAUUUUCAUAACUAGCUUUGCUAGCUCCGCUGUCUUACUUACGUGGGUUGUUUGUAAGUUAUGAAGUCGUGCUUCAAACUCGUGACCUCUUGCAACGAAAACCAUGCCGGUAUGGAUUGCACAGAUCACGUUUCUCGUUGGUCUCGCUAGCUGGAUCUAAGGCGCGAGAUGUUUCAUGCGAUAACUUGCGUGUAGAUUGAACUCACGACGUCAUUCUCCCCAGAGUAAUGUCGUGUGAAUUUUGGAUUACUUGGUGGCAUAAGUUCAUUAUUGCGAAACAGAUCCUUAGCUAGACUCAAACCGAGGUGGUUCUAAAAGAGGAAGGAUUUUAUAUUCUAACUUAAACAUUAAAUGCAUAUGUUACAGUUUGAUUGGUUGGUUUAGUACACUAGAUUUGCGCAAAAUUAAUUAAACUCUCCUUUAAAGAAGCAUCAAUUUAAAGAACAAGACCACUAGUCUAAAAAACACAUUCAACUAUGGAUUGUGGUGUACAACACAUGUAGCAUUGCUCUCUCUCUCUCUCUCUCUCUCUCUCUCUCUCUCUCUCAAACAAACAAUGAAACAAAUUUAGGACCCACACAAAUCUUUUUAGAUGUCCUAUUGAUCUCAGUUUACAAAAGAAAAAGAUUCUCUGUUUGUUGCUUGUACUAUUUUCUAUUUUUCCAUAUUACUGUAUAUGUACUUUGUACACCAAACUUACAUGUCAAUGCUACUCUUCGGAUCAGCUUUAAAAAAAAAAAAAACAAAAAACAAAAAACAAAAAAGCAGGGAAUAUGAUUAAGUGGUGGCCACAUCACAUGAUGGGUUAUGUUGGGUUAAUUAAAAUAAUUGAUAACCACUAUACAUAUACACCAAUGUAUUUCUCCAUGUGUUUGUCAUGUUGAACUUUAACUUGAAAGGUAUGCAUGAUGAUGAGGUACACGACUUAUUUGAUGAAUUGAAUGAUUUGAUUAAAGGGCAAAGUUCAAGUAACCCUUAAAUAGCUUUUCAUUUUAGUUAUUGCGCUUAAAUACGCUACGGUUACGAUUCUUGUUCUCCGUUAAAAGAUCAAUCCUUUGUUACGUACUGAGCACAAAAAAUACAACUCUCAUUUCGCGAAGCAAAAAAGAGAUCUAAGAAUACAUAAUAAGUUCAAUGAAAUUAUGCCCACUCUGAGAACCAGUUUAGCUAAGAAUGCGGAUAAUGGGAAUUAGAUUGUACAUAAUUCGGCGCAAAUCACGGAACAUGGUCGUUCAGUUUCAUACACAAUCCGCAUAACCAAUCGCUUUUUAUACAAUACUACUCUUAUAUACUCAAGGGUAUCAUUAAUCAAUUAAUAUUAUCGAAACUAUUUUUGAUAUUAUCAAAUAAAAAAGUUUAAAUCAUGGAUAGAUUUUAAACAAUUGGGAACCGUGUUUAUCGGCAAAAACGAUCUCGAACCCAUACAUUAAUCCAUUUUUCAAGAUUAUUGGCAUAAAUCUCGUGACAGGUUCAUAAAUCGCACAAAUAAUAUUAUUUCUUUAACCGCGCAUGAUUAUACGUGGAAAAAUUCUUUUAAGAAAAAAAUCCAAAAAUGAGCUAAAUUGGCUCACAAAAAUAUUGGCAUAUACCUCGAGAUAAUAAAAGGGAGCCCGCAUGUGCAUGCGAAACCCCCUUGAUCUAGGGCUGUCAGUGAACCAAAUACGAGCGAGCUACGAUCGGCUCGUGUUCGCUCAUUUAUUAACGAGCCGAAUACGAACUGACUCGUUAAAAUAUCGAGCUGAAAAAUCAAGCUCUUGUUUAGUUUGUUUAUUAGCAGUUUGAACGCAAGCUGAUUCGCGAACAGUAAAUUAGAUUGUCAGCUUUACUAUUGGAUGAAAAGUUGAAAGAAAAUUAAAAAAUUAGAAUCUUAAUAUAAUAAUUAAAAUUCACAAAACAUUUCUCUUUUGUCUUUGGGCUAAUCUAAAAUCGUACUAUAUAUUCAAGCUAUAUCGAGUCGAACACAAGCAACACCUGACUCCGUUUUAUGUUCAGCCUAUUUAUUAAAUGAGCAAUCUAUUUCGAACACAUUUUAGAUCGAACACGAUAUGAUUCGCGAACGGUACUAAUCCUUCAUUUAAAAACUAACUUUGGCAAUAUGAUUGCCAUGUUGGAAACGAACCAUUGCUCAUUUUCAAUUACGUGGAGCAUUUAAGCAACACUCAUUUUAAAGCAUUGUGGAUGAUAACAUAACAUCCCAUCCAAAUCGUUAGAGGACGCGGAGAUGGACUUUUGAAGCACGAACAUAAUGUUGUCGCAUCAUACAUUAUAUAUUGUUUUCAUUAUAAUUAAUAAUAUUAAUUUACCUUUUUUUUUUUUUAUUUCCCUUGUAUACAAAUAUAUAAGGAAUAAUAUCUAAUACAUCAUUCAAAAUUUUUAAAUUAUUUUAUAUUUUAUAUAUUUUUUUUGUUUCAAAUAUAUAUAUCGUAUAUCUUUCGGUUAUUCAAAAGUAAUCUCAUUGUUAGUAUCUAUUAAAUUAUCUUAGGUUAAAUUUAAAUUAAAUUUUUAGCAGAGUUAAAAGAAGACAAAUAAGAAAAGAGAAGGAUAUAUUUGAAAAGAUAAAAAGUCAAAAAUAUUUUUUUAUUCCUAAUUUAAGAGCAAAAAAGAAAAGUUGAUAACGCGUACAUUUGAAAAGGCAAAAUAAUAAUUUUACAAAUAAUGAUUGUUUCUAUCACUAACAAAAUUUAACUCUAAAAAUAUAUUUGAAAUAACUUGGAAAGUUAAAAAAAUAAUUUUAAUAUUAGCCUUCUAAAGAGAUAAAUAAAAAAGUCGAAAAUUUUUUAAGAAUAUAUACGCAAUUGCCCCUACAAAUAAGUAUCUCCAACACAUACAAAAAAAAAGAAAAAAAGAAAAAAGAAAAAUCAUACCUGUGAGUUAACUAUAUAAUUAAUACGAUAUCAUCAAAAAAUAGGCAAAAUUUAUCUACAUAUACUUUUUACUUUAAUUUUUUAAAAUAGCUCUUAAUUAAUAUAUCUCAAACAGUUUUUUUUUUUUUUUAGCGGCUUAUUAUUGGAGUGUUAUAUAUCUAUACUAUAUGAAUACUAGAUGGAAUAAAAAAAUAUUUUAUAUAUUUUCUAAAAAUAAUUAAAAAUUAAGACAAAAUAAAUUAAAUUUAAAAAAAUAAACUUAUGCCACUAAUAAUUAUUAAAAUUUAAAAUAUAAAUUUUAAUACUAUUUUAUUGAAAAUAUAAAUAUUUAAAUUUAAAUUAAGUAAUAAAUAUGACUUGCAUUAUAUGUGCACUACAUCUAGCAUAUAAAAAAGGGUAAACUUCAAAUACCACCCAUUUAGUUUCACACUUUCUCAUUUUUAGUACCCCGUGGUUUAAAGUGUAUCAAGUUAGUGUCCUGUGGUUUUAUUUUUAUCUUUUCGUCAGCUUCUUCGUUAAUAUUUUGUUAAAUUAUAUACAAAAACUUCAGAUACUCUACCUAGAUUUAUUGAAUAUACACUUUAGUACUCUUUAGUGUUAACUUUAUCACUGAUUUAAUGAAAAAUUAAAAUUAGUGGAAUCGAUAAUAAAAAGAUAAAAAUGAAAUUAUAUGGCACUAAAUUGAUAUAAUUUAAACCACAUGGUACUAAAGUGAGAAAGUGUGAAACCACCGGUGGUAUUUGAAGUUUUUCCUAUAAAAAAAAAAAAUUGAGAGAUCAAAUCGUAACGGUACAACAGUGUUACUGUACAAAUUAAUAAUGUUAUAAAAAGUUGGCACGUGUGCAUUGUGUACAAUGAAUCUACAUGUCUUUAGAAUGUUUUUAAGAGACAAAGGGAAUCAAACAAUGUGACAACACUUCUCACAUUGACCCAUUAAUUUUCCUUUGGGUUGGUUUCGCACUAUAUCUACUCUUUUUUUUUAAUUUUUUUUUUUUUACUAUAAAUACUGAAAUAAAAAAUAAAAAUUUAAUCGGUGCUUAAAGUAAAUUGAUUCGAUUACUUUAAUAAAAAAAACAAUAAUUCUAUCACUUGUAUCAAAUGAAGCACAUAUUGUUUGUUUUGAUCAAACUUUCUUUUGAAAUUUUUGUUGACUAUAUAAUUAGUAAUUUUGGAUUAAGAAAGAAGCUUAAGGAUCUGUUUGGUUCCUCAAAAGAAUAAAGAAAAAAAUUUUCGCGAAUUUUUUUUAUGGAAAACUUUUCAUUUGAUUCUACGAAAAAUUAGUCUUUUUAAUCUCUCUUUUGAAUUUUAUGAAACACUAGAGUUUUCGUUUUCUGAGUUUAUUUUUUUGAAAAAUAAACAUACUAAUUUUCUAUAAGAGUUGGCAAAAAGUUUUCCGAAAAAAUUAGCUUUUUAAAAAAAAAAAAAAAACCAAACUAGCAGAAAACUAAACAAAAACUUUUCCAUGAGAAACUCUUUUUUUUGGAAAUAUUUUUUUCACAUAUUUUUGUGGAACCAAACAACCAGCCAUUUAUUUAACAAAAUUUAGAAGGUCUAACUAAUCAAAUUAAGAGUCUAACCUAAAAUUAUCAGGCGCUUUCGGUUAACAAAUUAGUUCUGACACCAAAUAUAGUGAUUCAGCAUUCUAACAUUAAUAACGCGUCGUAACCAAACCCUCGAGAUCCUUAAUUAUAUACUAAAUCAUAAUUUCCUUCCCAUGCAGGUGUAGUACAAGUUCAAGGAAUCAUUAAUUACAUGCAUACAUAUAUUUUAGUUAUUUUAGUUCUUUGGUUUUUUAAUAAAUUUCUAUGGAACUUAGUGUAAAUAAAUAAAUUUGUCACAUAAUACUAAGCACAAGCUCCAAUCUCCGACAAUUACAUUUCCAAGAAUCCUAACAUCCGUACCCUCCACUAAUUGCUAUAUAUAUAUAUUGACAAAUUAAGCAUCAAACACCAAACUUUUUAAAUUCUAGGUACAAAUUUUAAGAUUAAAAUAUCAAAUGGAAAAAAGAAAUCGUACGUUCAAAUUCGGUACAAGAGAACUAAGAAAUUGAAAAACAAACAAAACGGACCUAAUUUCCACAUUACGAGGUCAACAGAUAUAUGCAAAAAUAGUAUCAUAGGAUAAUAUUCCAAGGAUUAAGACAUAUAUGUAUAUUUUUUAUUAUAUUCUCCACAGUUUGAGUCAAUUUGAUUUUGGGACCAGUUGUGGAAUUUCUAAUGUGUUUAGAAGAGCAUCGAAAUUAUGACUAAAUAUAUAAUGUGGAAGGAUAUUUCUAUCUACUUAUAUAACUUUUUAGAUUAGUUCGCGCCAUUUAACAACUCUGUCUCUAAUAAAAAUAUCGAUCUAUGUCAAUAAAGGCACUCUUUUAAAUGUUGAGGAAUAUAUUUAACAUGUUAUAUUUUGAUAUCCACGCUCUAAGUACUCUUUGGAAACAGAAAAAGCUUUGAUUAGCGCUCUUGUGGUAUAGUUUGGAAAAUGUUGUUGUUGUUGUUUUAUAAUUUUAUUUUUAUUUUACUUAGGAAUUUGCCAUAUGAUUAGGCUGGGUAGCAAAAUGAUUUUUGCUUUCCAAAAUUUUGAUUUAUAUAUAAAAAAUUAUAUCAUACUGCUGUCCUAUUUAAAACUAAAAAUAUAGAGUAGUAAACUAAUAUCUUUUAAACUACUGAGUAGUAAAGAAAAAGUAUGUAUUUAUAGGAGCUAAUUAAUUGAAGUUUACUUUUUUUUUGUUUUUUGAUAAAAUGUGUACAAAUUAAUUUGAAGAUGCACUCUUUCUAAUAGGGUUAAUUACUACUUUAACACCAUCUAGGACAAUGUAAAUAUAUAGAGAAUUAAUUAAUGGUGUUAGGCAUUUACUAGUCUUGUACAUCUUGUACAGGUGCCUCCCUAGCAAAGCAAUAAAUGGGCUCCUAGAUGAUGCAAACAAUAUUUGAAUGGUACUCCAAAUUAACCAUUUGGUAAUUAAGCUUUUUAUUUAUUUUAAUUAAGUAGAUAAACUAUAUAUGGCCUUGUGUUUAUGUAAUUGCAUAUGAGUAUAAGACCUAUCAACAAGUAGGAGAUCUAUAGAAAAACAGUUGUUUCGCAUUAUUUAUAACGCGUAUUCUGUUGCUUUCUAGGGUUUUAAACCAGAGUUAAUCCUAGUUUAGUGUGGUCAAAAUUCACCUCGUUAAUACCAUAUUAGAUUAAGCUUAUAACCAUGCUAUUAGAAUUGGGUAACAGUAACGAUGCGUUGAUUUGAGCAUCGCUCGACAAAAAUAUUUAAGAAAGGAGAGAGAUCUACAUAGGUUAACGCUAACGAGACAUUGAUUUUUAAGAAGAGAGAGAGAGAUUAUUGAAUAAAAAGUUUCUUAAUCGAUCUCAUCUACAUUUUAGAGAUGCAGUACGAAUGUACUACAAAAGAGUGAAAAAUAUUUUGUCUUCUUAUAAAAAUGUGGGACUUUAAAUAUUUACUGUAGCUGAUGCAGCAUUUUUAGUUGAUGCAUGAACUAGAUCUCUCACUUUGUUUAAUUUAUUGCUUCUAUUUUUUAGGCCUUUUUUUUUUUGCGCUCUCCUUCUCCCAUGCAUGUUCUCUAGUACAAACCUGUGAUUUAAUUUUUAAGGCUCUCAAAAAAAAUAAUUGGUACUUUAUUUUAUUACUGUUAGUGAUGAAUUUGUGUUUAGUUGAUUAACAAGCAAUUAAACUAGCUAGGUCAUUAUCUACUUUAGGGUAAAUUACGCUUUUCGUCCUCGAACUAUGAGUCUCGUCACACUUUGGUUUUCUGACAAUUUAUGGCUUAAAUUUUUAGGAUUAUUACAAUUCAAUAUAUGCAAACAGGGCGAACUCGGGACGGACUAAUUUUUAUUCUAUUUUGGAACAGAUCGGGCGCAGGGAGCAAGUUUUUGGUGGAUUUGGGCGGAUCAAAGACAAAAAAGGGUUUUCCGCCUUUCGCUCUGAUUUCUCGGCAUAUGGGGGCCGAUUUAUGGCAGAUUAUAUUUUUUUUUAUAUUUUUGGUUUCCAUUUAAUGUUCCAUCCGGGACUGAUCGGGACAGGAGCCCAACCAACGCGAAUCCAUUUGCAUCCUUGAGUCUACGGGUGCGCAAUCCAGCUCGCUGUUCGCGAGCCAGCUCGUGUUCAACUCGAAAUGAGCUCGAGAUCAGCUCGCUCGUUUAGUAAACGAGCUGAAUACGAGCUGGAUUUUUCACUCGUUUAAUAAACGGAGCCAACACUUGAGCUGAAGGUGUCAGCUCGCUCGUGUUCGGCUCGAUAACAGCUCGAUUAUAUUUAUUUUAUAUUAAUAUAAUUUUAUAUAUUAUAUAUUAUAUAUAUAAUUAUAUUUGUAUUAUAAAUAUAUAUAUAAUACAGAUUAUUAAUUUUAAAUUUUUAGUCUAAUUUUUUUUAAAAAUUUAGCUUAUUUAUAAAAAAGGCCCAUAGCUCCAUUUAUAUAUAGAAUUUUUUAUUUCCAUUCAUGACCCAUAGAUCCAUAAAUAAGUACCAAUAUUUUUUUUUUAAGUCCCAACCCUAAUUAGUAUUUUUUCCAUCUUUUUCACACUGCCCCACACAGCCGCACACACAGGUGACACAACCACACACACAUGACACACCCAACUCUCUCUCUUUCUCUCUCUCAGGCUCGCACAAGCACCGCACACGGCCGCCUCCCUUUUUCUCUAUCUCAAGCUCGAAGAUCACGGCGAGGCACGCGCGGUCGGGGAAGAUCUCCAUCUCGAUCUCGCGGAUCAGCUUCAGGACCUCGGAGCGGUGCGCGUCCUCGGCGGGGUCGGGGGCUGAGGUCGAGCGCCAGCAGUGGCGUCGCGCGAGGUCGACGAGGUCGCGUACGUCCUCGGGCCACGGCGAGCUCGGCGGCUGGGAGGAUGUCGAGGAGCGAAGAAUCGCUGUCGAGGGUGUGCCCACGAGCUCGAGCUAACGAGCCGAACACGAGCCGGCUCGAUUUUUAAUCUAACACUCUGAGUUCAUCCCGACAUUUGCUCGGCUCGAGCUCGCUCGACCUCGGUCGAGCUCGAGCCGAGCAGUAGAAGUUCCAGCCGAGAACAAGCCGAGCUCAAGCACUGCUCGAGCUUUUGAAACCGAGCACUAGCUGUGCUUUGAANCGAGCUGGCUCCAGCUCGCUCGAGCUCGGCUCGUUUACAGCCCUACUUGAGUCUCACAAUCUAAUUUAUUUGACUAAAUCUUGAUAAAUUAUUAAUAUAAAAGUGAUGCUGAAAUAUUAUAAUUGAUAAUACCAUAAUAAUUAAGAUGCUAAUCACUCUUACAUAAAUAAUUUAUAAAUAUUUAGCAAACUAAAUUAAAUUAUAAGACUUGAAUGUAAAAAUUUAAAAAAUUUAAACUAAAAUAUAUUAUAAAUUAAACUUUGAAAAUCAAAAUACCACAUGUUUCAACCAAAGUUGUAAUUUACCCUUAACUCGGUUAAAGAAUCCGUACGUGGGACACGACAAUUGCAUUUCCAAGAACUUCUCCGUACACUAUUUUGCUAAAAAAAAAAAAAAAAAUCUGUACCAUACAAAUGCACAAACUAAAAAGUAGAAUACGAUCGACGAAGCAUAUGAUAUUUGGUAACUGAUAAUUAAUCAUAUAUGUAGUACAUUUUGUAAAACUAAUUAAAGAGGGAAAAAGUAACUUCGAUUUACAUUUUGUAAUUAAGCGCGUAUUUACUUGGUUACUCUCUGAUUUAAAAAAUUAUACUAUGUAAUCUACUACAGGAUAACGGCGACUAUUCCUUUUGAUCCAUAUCGAAUUAGAUUAAGAUCCAAAUGCAAGCUUUAGUAUUCACUGUGUAUUCUAAAUCAUCAUGGAGAGUUCUUUGAUUAGUCCAGAUCCACGUUAGCUUAAUAAUGUGACAUAUUUUUUGAGCGGUCCCUAACUAACACCUUCAGGUUCAUCAUUGAUAAAUUACAAAGUAGAUUAGCUGGAUGCGAGGCGUCUCACUCUUAUACAAUCGGUGCUCCUAGCGGUACCUAGAUACUCCAUUUGUUUUAUUCUACUUCCUGCAAAAUUUCUUCACCAGAUGGAUAAAAUUAUUCGAGAUUUCUGGUGGGGCUUCAAGCCAGGAGGUCGCCACUAUUACCCAAAGGCGUGGACAAAACUAACUACAAAUAGAGAAAUAGGGGGGAUUGGUAUACCAUCUGUAACGACCCAGCCCACUAGCAACAAUAACUCGUUGGGCCCAAACCAACAGCCCAAAAUGCUUAAGCCCAGUUAUUAUUACUAGUGUCUAAGUCUCUUAGUCACAUACUCCCCCCGUUAAGGUCCUGACGUCCUCGUCAGUCCAAACACACACACAGCCCAAGAUCACCAGGCGAUGUGAGACUCGUCUCGCUAGCCCGUCAUCCAGACCCUGGCUCAGCUGAGACUCGCCACACAUGUCCAGCUGGUGAGCCGGCUCUGAUACCAAAUGUAACGACCCAGCCCACUAGCAACAUUAACUCGUUGGGCCCAAACCAACAGUCCAAAAUGCUUAAGCCCAGUUAUUAUUACUAGUGUCUAAGUCUCUUAUAAACCCAAUGACAACUCCAUUUCCAUCCGAUGUGGGAUUAUUGGGGUGUCACACCAUCGCUGUCAACACUUAAUCGAGCCCUAGUAUGCAAAUUGGUGUGGUCGCUCCUCACUAGGCCAACAUCCUUAUGGGCACAAGUUUUGGCGAACAAGUACAACCGGGCUAACAAUCUCAAUUUCUGGUCAGCUCAGAGCAGAUCUGUAGUUUCACCUAUUUGCGCUCUAUGUUACAAAUCUGUAAUUUCAUGGCAAAUGCUGUGAUCCAAAAUUCUGAACGGCUACAAUGGAAAUUCUCCGAAUCUGGCCGCUUCAGCCUGCGAUCCGCUAUCAAUUAUUUAAACGAUAGUAUGGAUCAGAGCCAAUUGCAUCAGCCACAUGAAAACCAGCAUACAAUUAGGGAAAAGUUUGAGGCAUAAAGAAUGUGAUGCCCAGAGCUAAAGUAUUUUUCUGGAGACUAGUAACAGACACGUUACCAGUUGGAGCCGCACUAGCCUCGAGACUACCUAACUUUAAUGGAUUUUGCCUGCUUUGUCUACAAGAGCCUGAGACGUUGGUACAUUUAUUCUUUAAUUGUGAGCAAAUACGAUGUGCCUGGUUCGCAUCCAGUAUAGGCCUUAUAGUUGAUAAUGCGGAUAGACCUCUGUCCUUUUGGAUUUUCUUUAUCCUAACUAAUAAAGCCAUGACGACCCAUAGGGCUUUCUGUGUUCAUCUGUUAUGGAGCUUAUGGAAAUGAAGGAAUGAGAUGAUUUUUGAAGGAAAAAUUUUCAUUAUUUCUACCAUCAUUUCACGGGCUCGUAGCUGGACGACCUUAUAUUCUAAAGAGAACAUGAUAAGGAUUAGCAUUCGGGACCCAACUCUGAUUCAAGAACCUGCGACAUUUUCCUUACAUGUAUGGGUAGAUGGGAGUUGGAAAGGUGGCACUACAGGUGGAGUAGGAUGCCUGAUCGCCAAUCAGCAUGGAAUCAUUAUGUGCAUAUCCGAUGUACUAAAGGAUGUCCAUGACGCUUGCUCUGCAGAAAUUGGAGCAAUUUUUCGAGCGACAAAUCUUUUGUUGCAAAAGUAUCCGGGAGAAACUUUUCAUAUCUACUCAGAUUCAGUGCCCAUCAUUAAAGCCUUGCACCUUAGAAGCUAUCAUUCAGAUUCGCUAACAGUUGAAGCUCGAACAAGAAUCACGGAUAUUCGGACUUUUCUUGAAAGUUCCAAUCGAUUUAGCUAUGGAUGGUCUUCACGAUUCUCUAAAAAUGUUGUAGUUGCAGAUCGAUUGGCCAACUGAGGGGUCACUAGCAACAAACUAUCUUUUUGGUCCUCGGUAGAUGAAUUCUCUCAAGUUGUACCUCCCGUUUGAUAAAUAAAUUCGCCUUCGGGCGUGUUUUCCCUCAAAAAAAAAGUAAUAAUGCAACAUAUCUAAUAAAAUUUAUUUAAUCUAAAAAUUUAAUUAAAGUAUAUUUGGUUGGAUCCACUAAUAUAUAUCAACUUUUACUUUGGACCUGCUAAUGUUAGGAUUUCUUUUUAAAAAAAUAUAUAGAUAAUUAGGUCCCAAGUAAUAAUAUAUAAUUCCAACUUAAUUUUCUAUUUUGUCUCUUGUUUCAUGCUAGGUACUUGAAAAAAAAGAAAAGAAAAAAAAGAUGGAAAUAUCAGGUAUCUUAUUCAUCCGUACUAAAAUAAGUUGGUGUAUCGUGCAUGUAAAUAUGAAUAGCUUUGUGUAGUUACACACACAAGCGAGAACAUCAAAUUUGAAUAAAUAAAUUGUGUGGUUGUUUUAAUCAUCUCACAAUGGGCUUUUGUUUUUUAAAUAAAAAUAAAAAAUAUAUAAAAUUUAUCUGAACUAUGGACUAUUUUGAGUUGAUUGCUCAAUCUUUUAAAAUUUUGAUUUUACCUCCCGACCUUUUAAUUUGUUUGAUUUGAAUUGGCCAACAACACUUCAAAAUUUAAAUGCAUCAUUUAUUCUUGAAGUUUUAAUUUGUACACUUUAUACAAUUCUUAUAACUAUAAAUUUAUUAAAUAAUUAAAUUAAUUUUCUUGAAGUAAAAUAUUAUUGACCGACUCAAAUUAAAUAAAACUAAAAGAUUAAAUAAUAAAAUAAAAAAUUUUAAAAAAUUGAAUAGCAGUUUUAAAAUAAACUAUUAGCGCCGUACAUCUUUACAUUUUUUAUGAACGGUAGAGUUAGGGUUGUAAUGUGGGCCGUGCUGGACCGGCACGGCCCACAUUUUUCCUGUUUAUUCAGGCCGUGCCGUGCCAUGCCGGGCCGGAGCUACCAACUCUCUGGCCCAGCACGGCCCUUCAGCCCAGAAGGUCCGGGCGCUACUCCGGGCCGGCCUUUAAAGAAUUUUAUUUUUUUAAUUUUUUAAAAAUAUAUAAAAUUUAAAAAUAAACAAAUAAUUUUUUUAUUUAAAAAUUUAAAAUUUAUAAAAAUAAUUAUAAUAUAACAAAUAUUUAAAUUUUUUAAAAAAAUAUAUAUAAUUUUUUUUUAAAAAAAAUUGGAGAGUGUUUUUGGUCCAUUGGGCCAAAAAGGAGAUCUCCUGGGAAGAAUGGCCAAGGGCCUUCUCCCCAGGAGAUCCAACCCCAAGGCCCAAGGGCCUUGGGGUUUCGGGCCAACACAGCCCAAGCAGGUCGUGCCGUGGCAGGCCACGGGCCUACCUUCGGCCCGGCAGGGCCCAGGCCCAUAUCGACCGUGCCGGUCCGAGCUGUCGGGCCCAAAAAGAUUGGCUUAGCAUGGCCCAUAGAGUCGAUGCUACAGUAGCCAUGCCGGGCCAUGGCCCGGGCCACAGUCGUGCCAAGCCGGGCGGCCCUUGGGCCGAAAAAUUCAAAAAAAAAUAUGUCGAAAAAUAAAAGAAAAGAAAAUAUAUUGUGGUCUUACACUGACCUAAAAUUGAUUGAAUAGAGAAUCGGAGCUCGGUAAUUAACUCUCAAAAUCAAUUAUAAUGAGCGAGAGUUAAAUAUUCACAUAUCAGUAGUCACAUAUCGGAUAAUUAAAAAUUAUAAAUCAUUGAUAUAAAUUAAAAGCCUCGUACCUUUUAUGCUUAACAUUUUAUGGAUGAAUUCAAACAAUUGGUAUCAGCGCGCCGGUGGUUUAAUUAUUUUGAGUCACUCAUUCGAGUGAUACGUUUUGGUGCAUUUAAACGAAUUCGGUCUAGAUCUAAUACAUGAUAUAAUAGUCGAUGGAUGAAUUUUAUUAGAUAUAUAUUGCUUUUAUUGAGCACAUGUGGGUUUUGUACUAGAAGGGCGAUUUCGAUCUAUAGAAUUUAUAUUACCUUCGAGGAACGAGCUAAAGUUGGUUUAAGGUGCACGUCUUUGUUGGGAAGCGCCUCAACAAGUUUUUGUUGAAAUAGUUUGGUAAGUGGUUUGACGCACUUCAUGUAUGUUUAGAUUUUAAAGUGUUAUUGUGAUACAAAAGUUUUUGGUUUGAAUCUUAAGAUCGUGUUGAAUGGUGGAUUUAGAUGCGGGGCGAAUGAGCGAUCACUUACUCUGGAUUUUCCUCUUAUCCAUAAGAUCGCACUAGUAAUAUUAAUUGGGCAAAUAAGAAAGCUAUAAUUGGGAACAAAGCUUUACUUAUUGGGCUGUAGAUCUAAAUUGAGCCCACAAAAUGUUAUUUUUUUAUAAUUCAACUUUUUAAAUAUUUUUAAAUUUAAUGAAUAAAGUUUAAAUAUUUAUUAAAACAUAACAUAUAUAGCUGGUUGAAAUAUAUUAAUUUAGAUGCCAAAUAGCCUAAAAAUUUAAUGAUACAGGACAAAACUAUUCUAAGUUGUCUAUAAAAUAGAUGACAAAAAUACUUGAAUUAUAAUAUAUGUAACGUUUAGAUACCGUGCCUCGCAUCUAAUAAUUUUUAGUCUAUGAAAAAAUAAAUGUAUAAAUUUAACUUGUACAUCUUAGGAAUACAACACGAUCAAAAUAAUUUUCUAUUUUCUUCUAUAUAUUCAAUCACACAUGAUAUAUUAUACUAUUCAAUAUUUCACCAACACACACACACAUAUAAGCUCCGCAUACCCAUUUUUUAUAGGUCAAAUAUUUUUUACUAUGCCAAAAAGAAUAAAUUUUAUUUAGGUGCAUGGUAUAAAUGAUAAUUUUUUCUCCAUUAAGGCCGAUAUUGGAAUAGUGUGAUAGUACUAUGAUAGCGCAUUAUAGUCCCGUUAUUGAGUUGACAGUUUGGGAAUGAUUAAAAUAUUAUAUUAUUAUCGUGUUAUCAGCUAUUAUUGCAGUAAAUAUAAAAGUUGGGAGUUCNAACUCCCAAAAAAAAAAAAAAAAAAAGGAAAAAAAAAAAUUCAGGGGUUAGGUACAAAUAAAGCAAAACUACAUGGACUCUUCACACAUUUUCCUCUACAAUAUCCUCUCCAAUUCACCACCAAAAAGGAGAAUUAAAAAAAAAAGAAAAUAAGGUCCAUACAUAAAUACAUUAAUUUUCUUUCAAUAUCCUAUGUACUCCAAUGGAGGUAGUAGCACUAUCAACAGCAACAUGGUCUCUACCUCCUCCCCCUCCUCCUCCUCAACCUCUCACCUCUCCAUCUCCUCCUCUCUCCUCUCUCCUCUUCAAGAGCUCUCCAUUGAAGAAGCAACAACCUUAUCUCCACAUCUCCUUUAAGAAGGAGAGGAGGUACGUUCUCACCCCUUUGAGGUGCUCACUUGGUGAGAGCCCAUCAACUGCUUCUUCUUCUUCUUCUUCUUCUUCUUCUGCUUCGGAAAGAUGGCUUCUUGAGCCUGCAGGUUCUUUUCUAUUUCUAGUUGUAUUUGUGAUGCUGUUCUCCCAAUUGGUUUUUUUUUUUUUUUUUUUUUAAUCUCUAGGUUAGAGUUUCUGUGAAUUUUUGUAGUGUGAUGCGUUUGAUGUUGAAUAUAAAAUAUUAAAAUAUUAUUUUUUGACAGUUUAAAAUAUUAUUAUCUCACAUCAUAAUUUUAUGGAAUUAGACUGGAAUGCGUCUAAUAGCAUCAAGUCAUUGGCGCUAUUUGAUUUUCGAUCUUUGAAUGAAAGGAUGUGUGGUUAAGAUGAUGGUAAUACCCUAGUCACUGUUUGGUUUGAGAAUAAAAGAGGGUUAAGGGGUUAUCCCCUCUUUUAUCUCCAAAUGGCAUCAAAUGAGGGGAGGGUUUGUAACCGCGACCCCUAACGGAUUAUCCCAAAUGGUAUCAAAUGGGGGUGGGGAUUGUUAACCCCAUCCCUGUCCGUUAGGGUGGGGUUAACAAUCCCACCCUCUUUAGAAUUGGGGUGGGAUUAGUUAAUUCCAUUCCAAUUUAUUUUUUAAAUAUAAUUAAAAUUUUAAUUUUUAAAUUUUAAAAAUUUAUAAUUUGUAAUCUUAAAAUUAUAUUAAUAUUUUUAAUUUAAAUUUAAAAUUUAAAAUUUUAUUUUUAAUUAUUUAAAUUUAAAUUUGACAUUUAUAUUUUGAAAAUUUUAAAAUGUAUAAUUUGCAAUCUUAAAAUUAAUAUUUAUUUUUUCUAAAUUUUAAAUUUCAAAAUUAAAUUUUAAAUUAUUAUUUUUUAUUAUUUAAAUUUUAAAUUUAAUAUUUUAUAUUUGAAAUUUUAAAAAUUUAUAAUUUGUAAUCUUAAAAUAUAUAUUUAUAUUUUUAAAUUUUACAUUUUAAAUUUUAAAUUUUAAAUUUUAAUCUUACAAUAUAGAUUUUAAUUUUGAAUUUUUUAAUUUUAAAAGUUAUCUAUUUAAAUUUGAAAUUUUAAAUAGAAAAUAAAAAAUUUAAAUUCAAAUAUAAUAAUUGAGGCAAUAUCAUCGUUUUCUAUUUAUAACUACCUACUAUCUUUUUUAUUCCACUUAUAACUCCAACCAAAUACUAUUUUGCUUAUAUCUGGACUAAACCCAAUUCUCAACCAAACACAAAAUUACUCUAAUCCCACCUUAACCUUAAACUUAACCCUAUCCCUGGAAUAACUAUUUCUUACUUAACCACGAAGCCGUAGUUUGAGUAGGUGGUUGGUUGAGUAGUAUGGUUUAACGGAUGAAAAUAGUUAAAUGGGUAAAUCUAACGAUGAAAAAUUUGGUAGCACCAAGUGUUUGGUGUUAUUAGAAACAAACCAGCUGGACUAUAUAGGGCUAUUGUAUUAUUAAGAGCAUUACAGUCUUUAUGGUCCUAACUUUCUAAUUAUCUAUCAAUUUUGAUGAAUGGUUAGGAUGAGAGAGAACAAAAAUUGAAAAGAAAUUCAAAGCGAAGAAAAUUGAGACACUCAAUUUCUCUUCUUAUCCUAACCAUUUAUUAAAAUUGAUGGUUAGGAAGUUAGGAGCACAAAGACCGCUAUACUUCUAAUAACCCAGUAACCCUAUAUAUAGGCCAUGGCUACUAUACUAUUAUGAGUAUUGGAGCCCUCGUACUCAUAAGUUGUUUUCAAUGAUGGAGCUUCACGAUCCACUCCGUUAAAUAUGAUCUAGAGUAUUUGAAACUUCUAGAAAAUAAAUUUCGUAAAUUUUCGAAAUCAUAAUAAAGUCCAUCAAGUGGGCAUAAAAUGAACGGUCAAAAUCGAACGACGUCCUAAAAAAGGAUGAUCGGAUCCUUCAAUUCAAGAUCAGAGUUAUUGAUCUUUAUCUAUGUAGUGAAUAGAAUUUUCUAUCAAAAAUUCAACAAAUUCUGAUUCUUUUACACCGUUAAACUAGCAAGUAUUCCAUACCGGCCGGUCGUUAAAAAUUGUCAAAUUUGUGACCUCUUGAUCGUAAGGUAAAUGAUGUCGAAAAUUUAUAAAAUUUGAUUUCUAGAAGUUUUAAAUGCUAUAAAUAACGUCUAACGGUGUGGAUCGUCGUUUCGGAAGCUCUAUCAUUGAAAACAACUUAUGAGUACAAGGGUGAUCGUACUCAUAAUAGUAUAGUGGCCGGACCCUAUAUAUAUAUAUAUAUAUAUAUAUAUAUAUAUAUAUAUAUAUAUAUAUAUAUAUAUAUAUAUAUAUAUAUGCUUAUGGUAGCCGGACCCUAUAUAUAUUAUCAGAGCAGGAAUUGCGGAGUUCAAAUUCUUGACUUUUUUCCGUUUAUGGAUACUAAAUCUCUUCAAUUUAGCCUUGCGAUGAAUCUUCUUGGUGUAAUACGCUAAUAAUUUUAAGUGUAACUAAACUUGAAUUACAGCUGAAUUAAAACACUCCUUUAAAGAUGAAUUUACAUGCACUUGGUGGUUUAUGCUUAUUGCCUGAUAUGUUUUAUGCUUUUAAAUCAUAUAUCUCCCAAACAACUAGAUUUCCAGAAGUAAGGCAUGAGGAUUUGGGUCGAUUUGAGCUUAGAUCGACUUGAUUCGGAGUUUCUCAAAAUAUGUUCACAAAAUCAAUGUCCAAAGGCUAUUAUUAACCAAGGAAAUGAUAUAGAAGAUAAACUUUGUUCAUAACAUAAUUAUAGUUUUCAGCCUGAAGUUCAGAGUACGAUUGGCAUUUGUUUCUGUUAAGACAUAUUCUGACAUGUUUUCUAUCAGAUCGAUCUUAUAAUUUCCGUAGCAUCUUAAGCUCCCACCGUCGAUUUGAUCCCACUUUCAACAUUAAGGGAGCGUUAAGACAAAUUCUAGGCCAUUUCUUUCUCCUUGUAAGUCACUAUUUUUCGUAGCCGAGAUACGAAUAGUUAAGUAACAGGUUUAGUUACAAUAAAAAUGAUGUAUGAACUAUUCUGCGUGUCAGCAUCAUGCUCUCUGAAUUCGAUCGCAAAUCGAUAGAACAAUCGUUAAAUUUCCAGGGCUCGAACCUUUACAUUGCGCAUGAAUUGCAGGUGAUGGGGAUUCACGGCACAUCGGAUACCGCGUUCCACUUCCUGAUGCAUUUGAAGUAGCUUCAGUAUGUUCUCUCCUGAUUAUCAGACUGUCAUUAGAAAAGCAAUGCAAGAUCCAAAAUUAAUUCUUUCUGUCCAUCUCUCCAGGAUACAGUGACUGUCGGUCGCCUUCCAGAGAACGCAGAUGUAGCCAUCCCUGUUGCCACUGGUAUGUAUCUGCCUUAAUUGUAUCUCAGAUGCUCAAUUCAUACUUUUUUUUCUUUUCUUUUUCUGGAAAAUUCUUUCAAUCAAAUAUCUAAAUCAGCUUAAUCGGAAAAAAAAAAAGGUACAAUCAAAUAUCUAAAUCAACCUAUAAGUGAGUGAGUACAAAAUCAUAUUUAUUUCCAGGGACGGAGCCAUUAUGAGAUUCACAUAUAAGUCUUAUGCAGUAAAAAAUUAAAAUAUCACAAAUUUUAGUUUUUACGCAGACCAAAUUAUUAUUAUUAUUAUUAUUUUUAACAAAACAUGUGUUUCCAAUCUUUCCCUAAACUCCUCGGCCCUUUUCCUCCACCGCCUCUAGUCCUACUCCUUGAUCAUCUCGUCAGCGCCGACAUCGCAGGCAAUAGAUAAUCGGUGAAUCUAACGAACUCUUUUCCCAACUUCCCGGCUUCGUGCUGUUUACAUCAACAUGUGUUUGUAUAUAUAUUUCAGAUAAGAUUUGUACGUAUAUUUUAGAAGGAAAAAAAAAAGAAGAAAAAAACAAAAGAGUUAUCUAAUGCGCUUGCACCUUGUACACAGUCUCUCGUAUUCAUGCCCGGCUUGAGAAAAAGAAGGGGAAUUUAUUCGUCACAGAUUUGGACAGCACAAAUGGAACAUAUAUUGGUUACGAGAAGCUUAAACCUGGUGCCGCCACGAAUGUACCCCCUGGGAGCUACAUAACUUUUGGUAAUUAAACAUUUGAAGAGAUUCAUUUAACUAGAGUUUGGCUUGUGUGCUUUCGAAAGUGAGGAGACCUCCAUGCUAUCGAGUCAUUUCUGAUAUUAAGACUUCUGAAUCAACGAUCUGUUUCAUUAGACUUGAUAUGAAGUAUUUGAAGUAUUUAGAAGAUAAAUUUUAUAAUUUUUUGACGUCAUUUACUUAGUGAUUGAAAGGGCUCAUAAUCAACUGUUUGAAAUAAAAAUCUCACAAAAAGUAUGCUAUUGUUUUAUAUGGUAUAAAUAAUUUUCUAUCAAAAUUUCACAUAAUUUGAAUAUUUCUAUACUGUUAAACUUGCAAACUGCUGACCACAACUAUUAUAAUUAUUGAUUUUGGGCCGCUUCGAUCACUGAGUAAAUGAUAUAAAAAAAUCAUAAAAUUUAUUUUCUAAAUUCUUUAAAUACUCUAAAUCAAGUUUAUCAGAGGCAGCCGUUGAUUCGAAAUUCUCAACAUCGAAAACGACUUGAUAGCACGGAGGCAACCGCGUUCCGAAAAGCACACAAGCCUAACACUUUUAACUAUCCUAUUAUGUCGCUUUUGGAAUUAAUUGUUCAUUAAUUUUAGAUGCAAUAAGCGUUAAUUAUUUGAACUUUUCGAUAAAAUUUGUUGGCAUGUAAUUAAAUUGCAGGUGAUAUCCACCUGGCUAUGUUUCGCGUUUCGAAGAUCGGAGUUGAUGCUGCUGCUGCAGAAGCAGGAGAGGUACCUGCUGCAGUUGAAACUUUGGAACAAACCAGCUGAGAGUCGAAGCCUUGUUCUUGUUCGAGUCGAUCUGUUUUCAUCUUGUUUAUUUUUGCAUGUAAUAUUAUCAAAUAAGCCCUUCAGUUCUGUGAAUUCUGAGAAGGGUUUUUUCGCCCGUGCUGUGUUAUGUUGUCAGGAUAAUUUAGUCUCGAAUAAAGUACGUCGGAUGUAAUUAAUAUGCGAAAGGGAAAUGAAAAAUUCUCAUUGGUGUCUGCUUAUAUGAUCGGAAGUUAACGCAUCACUACAUACUGAGUUUGUUUUGUUGGAUUAUGUGAAGUUACACUCCGAGUCGAUAUUAUGGUGAAAAAAAUCAAAGAUUUGAGAUUUCUAUAUGUGAAGUAUUCGUAACUCGAAGUUUUGAGUACUGGCACUGAAAAUUAUGUCAGAAAUUCCUCAGAAUUCGAAACUUUGACCGAAUAAGUUGAGUUUGACUGCAAUUUGAUUUAAUCUUGUGUCAUGAGAUUAGGAAAUAUUCAGGAGUACCUUCAAGAGGGUUUUUAAGAGGAGAUCAACAGUUAGAAGUGAAUCGGAGAUUCAGAUGGACGGCAGAGAUCAUUUCCUACAAGAAUUGGAGUUUUAGAGUUAUAAACCGUUGUAAUUCUUAGAGUUUUAUUGUUGAUAAAACCUAAUUAAGAGAAAAUUGUGGAGAACUCUUGAGAGAGAUUGUUGUAAUUCGAUCUUACUUUUUAUACUUUUGUGUUUUGAAUUAAUCGAAAAAUGCAUUAAGGUUGUUUUCUCUGUGGACGCAGGUCGACAUAUUGUUAACUGAACUACAUAAAUUCAAUAUUCUUAUGUUCUCUUAUUUGUUUUAUUGCUUUGUUGUCCUUGUAUUUCUUUUCUAAGAUCGUUUUUAUCUAUUUUUGUUUAUAAAAAAUGUCGUUUUUUGCUGUGCUCAUGUGCCGUGUGAAUUUGAGACGUGCUCGGUAAUCCUUUGGUUGGUCCCGUUCGUGUCUAAGAAUUACAAGUCUCAAGGAGUUAAUGGAUUUGUGGUUGAUCAACAAAUUUGGCCAUGAACAGUGUAUGUACUCAGUUUAAUGUACAGCAUGUUAAGUGGGCUGGAGAGGAACAAUCACACACACAUGAUUAACAUAUGCACAAGAUUUGGGAAGUUGCAUUGAAAUCUACAGAUUUUUGAGGAUUCACGCGCAAAAAAAUUUCCUUUGUUUUUCCAAUAAUUCAUGUUGAAUGAGUCGAGAGAGGUUUUGAGUAGUCUCCUUUUGUUUCUGUUUUUGUUUUUGUUUUUUCGCUUUAUUUCAAUUACGUGAUGCGCUGACUUAAACUUAAGACCGAUUGCCUUGAUAAAAAGCUAAUUAUCAAUAAGACUAUCAAAUUCAAUAUUUAAUUUGAUGUAUUUGGAUGUAACUGCUGCUAUAGUUAGAAUGCAGGAGGAGAUCCAACUGCAGCAGUUGAAAUUACAUCCAAACUGACUGCUACUUCAAUUGCAACAUUUGGAAAAAGUAAAUUUAAGUAAAAUAAUAAGCUUAACUUUUUGAACUUUUUUUAAACAAAAAUUAUUUUUUCUUUUCUGUAUGCAUUGGAGAUAAUUUUAUCAUUACGUGUAUAAAGUGAUAAAAUUUUAAAAAUGCACCUCUCAACUGCAUGUGACCAAACAAGACGCAUGUACGUAGUUAUAACUAUUGUAUUUUCAACUGCAUGUAUCUCUUCUAAUUGCAUUCAACCAAAAAGCUUUUAAAUAUAGUUAUGUUUUUUUUUUUUUAUUUGAUGGAGAAAGGUAGUGUGCCGGUGACACCUGAUUGCUUCUUUUCUUUACUCUUUUCUUUAGAAAUGAACAUAGUUAGAAUUGUGAAUAAUUAAGCUUCGAACUUUGAGAUAUCAGAUGCUAAUCAUUAAGCCUUUUACUACUUGCACCGAGGAUGAUCAGUCGUAAAUAGUGAUGAAAUUUCUGCAAUUCUUGGAUUUUUAUAUUUUUAUCCUUUUUUCCGCUUUUUUAGUUUCAUCAAGAUGCCAUCAGAGAUCCUAGUGAUUAAUAAAUUGUUUCGUGAAAUUGUCCUUCAUUUAUUUAUUUAUUUUUCCGUAAAUUCUCCAGUAGGAACAAUUGUGGAGCCCACAACAUGUGACAUAUAUAUCUAUAGAAAAUCCAUUAUAUCCAAACGUUUAAUAUUCUUUUUUUUUUUAUUAUUUAACAUUGGUGUGAGUUUAUUUUCUUACUGGAAUGUCUCGUCAUCAGUCAUCACUGCUUACGUACAAACUAAUUAAUAGUCUUUUUGAACUUAAUCUCGUAAAUUGUGUGAAAUAAUUAUUAUUAUAUAGAAAAGUGUUUUUAUUUUAAUUUUUAUGUUUAGUACUUUUCAUUACUUCUGAAUUCAAAAGGUUAAGCUAGUAUAGGAUAAUAUAUUUUUUUAUUUAACAGUCUUCUUACGUCUAAACUCGAGAUUCUUCGAUAGACCAUGCAGUAAGGUGGAUUCAAAUUAAAUAAAAAAAAAUUAAUUAUACUAAGAGCUUGAAAUAACUCAAAACUCAAAAAAAUCUUACUCUAAUAUCACGUUAGAUACACUGAAUAAUUGCAAUUCUUCAAAAAAGUUUAAGCUGCUAAAAAAUAACACAAUCCGGCCCCACCAUAAUAUAAUUUGGCCAAUUUGCAUAAAAAAUCCACUUAUUUUGGGCUUUUGCAAAAUCGGGCCACCUUUUUUAUUUUUGCAGAUUCGGUCCGCUUUUUCAGCAAACUGACCAAAAUACCCUUAUUACUUUUUCUCUUUUCUCUUUCUCUCUCCUCUUCGUUCUCUCGUUUUUUUUUUUUCCGCCGGAAAAAAAAAGCGAAGCCAGGCGGAACAAUUUUUUCUUCUCUUUUUCUUUUUCUUCUUCUUCUUCCUUCUGUUGGAGCACCUUUUUUUUUUUCCCUCUUCUUCUUUUUCUUCUUCUUCUUCUUCUUCUUUCUGUAAGAGCACGGGGCGCGCCACGGCGACUUCCGGCCUCGCCAAGCAGCGUCCACCCGGCGGCGUUCUGCAGGGAGGGGUCGGCACCAGCGACCGCGAGCGCCGCGGCGAUGGUGGGGGCGCGCGGGAGGCGGGCGGCAAGGUGGAGCGGGGUGUCGCAGCUGGNGGCGCGCCACGGCGACUUCCGGCCUCGCCAAGCAGCGUCCACCCGGCGGCGUUCUGCAGGGAGGGGUCGGCACCAGCGACCGCGAGCGCCGCGGCGAUGGUGGGGGCGCGCGGGAGGCGGGCGGCGAGGUGGAGCGGGGUGUCGCAGCUGGGGACGUCACGCCGGUCGAGGGCGGCGGUCACGCGCUCCGCCCGGCGCUCCGCUCGGGCGGCGUCGGCCGCCGUUGCGAUCUCCAACGGCUUCUUCUUCUUCGUAAUGGUGUAAUGGUGCACGCGGGCCGGUGCACGCAGCGGCGGCGGGCGGGCACGCGGGAGUGCUGCGGCUGCUUCUUCUUCGUCAUAAUGGUGUAAUGGUGCACUAUUACACCAUUAAUGGUGUAAUGGUGUAAUUACACCAUUAACGGUGUAAUGGUGCACCAUUACACCAUUAAUAGUAAAAUUACACCAUUAAUGAUGUAACCAUUACACCAUUAAUGGUGAAAUUACACCAUUAAUGGUGUAAUGGUGUAAUUAAUGGUGUAAUGGUGUAAUUACACCGUUAACGGUGCACGCGACUCGCGGAGCGGAGCCGCGGGUGGAGCUCCAGCGCCGCCGCAAUGAAGCCAUGGCUCGCCGGCGCCGGCGGUGGCGCCGCCACAGUGAAGAUGCCCACCGCUCCCUGGAUGACAGGCCCCCUCCUCCUCCCCUCCGACCAUGUCCUCGACUUCUCCCAGAAUCCUCCCCUCCGACCAUGUCCUCGAUUUCUCCCAGAAGCAGAAGCAGAAACAGAAGCGGGGUGAAGGAGACGCCUCCUCCCUCACCGCCACGGUCCGCGUCNGCGGCGGCCUCUCCGGCGCCGCCACCUCGUCCCCCGCCUCCGCCGCCGCGGGGGCGGCGUCGCCGAGGGAGCGGAUGCUGCGGACAAUCCCGCGCAUCGCGUGGCGGCUACGGCCGACGCGGACCGUGGCGGUGAGGGAGGAGGCGUCUCCUUCACCCCGCUUCUGUUUCUGCUUCUGCUUCUGGGAGAAAUCGAGGACAUGGUCGGAGGGGAGGAUUCUGGGAGAAGUCGAGGACAUGGUCGGAGGGGAGGAGGAGGGGGCCUGUCAUCCAGGGAGCGGUGGGCAUCUUCACUGUGGCGGCGCCACCGCCGGCGCCGGCGAGCCAUGGCUUCAUUGCGGCGGCGCUGGAGCUCCACCCGCGGCUCCGCUCCGCGAGUCGCGUGCACCGUUAACGGUGUAAUUACACCAUUACACCAUUAAUUACACCAUUACACCAUUAAUGGUGUAAUUUCACCAUUAAUGGUGUAAUGGUUACAUCAUUAAUGGUGUAAUUUUACUAUUAAUGGUGUAAUGGUGCACCAUUACACCGUUAAUGGUGUAAUUACACCAUUACACCAUUAAUGGUGUAAUAGUGCACCAUUACACCAUUAUGACGAAGAAGAAGCAGCCGCAGCACUCCCGCGUGCCCGCCCGCCGCCGCUGCGUGCACCGGCCCGCGUGCACCAUUACACCAUUACGAAGAAGAAGAAGCCGUUGGAGAUCGCAACGGCGGCCGACGCCGCCCGAGCGGAGCGCCGGGCGGAGCGCGUGACCGCCGCCCUCGACCGGCGUGACGUCCCCAGCUGCGACACCCCGCUCCACCUCGCCGCCCGCCUCCCGCGCGCCCCCACCAUCGCCGCGGCGCUCGCGGUCGCUNAACGGCGGCCGACGCCGCCCGAGCGGAGCGCCGGGCGGAGCGCGUGACCGCCGCCCUCGACCGGCGUGACGUCCCCAGCUGCGACACCCCGCUCCACCUUGCCGCCCGCCUCCCGCGCGCCCCCACCAUCGCCGCGGGGUUGGCGGUCGCUGGUGCUCGUCGGGCUUGUGUGCGAAGAACGCAAACGCGGCGGGUGGAGCCGGUCUCGUCCUUGCAGAGGCGGGUGCGGUACUAGGCCGGGUGGAGCCCGGACUCGAACAGCCGGUCACGAGGAGGGAAGAAGAAGAAGAAGAAGAAGGAGAAGAAGAAAAGAAGAGGGAAAAAAAAAAGGUGCUUCAGCAAGAGGAAGAAGAAGAAGAGAAAGAAAAAUAGAAGAAAAAAUUGCUCCGCCUGGCCUUUGCUUUUUUUUUUUCCGACGGAAAAAAAAAAGAACGAGAGAACGAAGAGGAGAGAGAAAGAGGAAAGAGAAAAAGUAAUAAGGGUAUUUUGGUCAGUUUGCUGAAAAAGCGGACCGAAUCUGCAAAAAAUGAAAAAGGUGGCCCGAUUUUGCAAAAGCCCAAAAUAAGUGGAUUUUUUAUACAAAUUGGCCAUAUAAUUUUGAACCAAUAUACAAAUUAAGUUACUCUGAACUCUUUUUCAAUUAAUCACUCUUCAUGCUCUUUUAAAGUUAAUACUAAUUAAUACUCAGAAUCACUCUUGGCUCUUUUCUAAUCACAUUUUAUACUCUUUCGUAGUUAUUUCUAACUCACACUCUUUCACCUGAGUCUUUUUGCCAACUUUAUUAAAUCAUGUUUAAUUAAUUCCUGCUUAGUCCCUAGGCCUUACUCAUUAAGAUCAAAUGUAUCAUCGAUAACUCGAUCGCAACACGCAAAUUAAACAACUUAAAUUUUCAAGUCAUUGGCUAGCUCCAAUUAACACCAGUUAUUGAGAGUAAGAUAAAGUUCAUAAUUAAUUUGGUAGAUUAACUCACUAAUCCCCAGAGAUUAAACCUUUUUAUGUUUUCCACUAUUGAUACAUCUCAACUUUGAUAUCAAAAAAAAAAAAAAAAAAUCAUAUCAACUUGUUAGUUGUUACCAUGCAAACUUAUUAACUUGUAGUUUAGCAGGACUAUUGGAAAAUAUAUAUAUAACGGUUGGAAGCGUUAUUUUCUUUGAUACCAAUUGUUGGAACUAGUAUUUGUACUGAUACCGAUUAUAUAACACAAGAUUUAAAAUAGAACAAAAUAAUAUGAAGAAUAGAUAUUGGAGGAGGAAGAAGGUAACUAAACUAAUACUUUAUUAAUAAAAGACAAUUAAUUACAUUCUCGGUAACACCCAUGCAGCCAUGUCUACUAUGACUUAGGCUUAGUUUGGUAUUGAGGUCUAUCUAACGCUAUUAGAUAAAAUGGAGUUGAGAAAAAAGCAUAUAGGGAUAUGCUUCUGCGUUAUCCGGUGGGACCGCAGAAAAUAUAUCAUAACUGACUCAUCGCGAUAUGCGGAACGCAAUAUUACGUACGAAAACAAACAGGGUAUUUUUCCAUCGUCGUUUCUCACCGCACAUAACGCAAUCUCCCCGCAAUCCCAAACGAAACCUUAUUCCUCUAAUUAACCCAUUCCUCUAACUAAUCCAUGUCUAACUAUAUAUAACCAUCAAAUCAUAAUAGAUGAUAAAUCUAAUUUUACUUUGGAUAAAUACAUAUCCUAACCAUAAUAAAAUAUUUAAAUUUAUCUAUAACUAUAUUUUAAUUAAGUUUGAAUUAUUAUUUCCAACAUCCUCCCUUAAUUCAAACUUUAUCUACGAGUCGCAAAUCCCGUGAACACGCACUU
rnacentral:lncRNA from 1 species